AUUGGAUAAUAUUAAAACGCAGCUUGGUGGCGGUGGAACCACAAAUACACGUUCCCACUGAAAGCUGGAAUUACUGGUCAUGCUCAACUGACCGUUGGCUUGAUGGCGUUCUUCUAUUUCAUUAAUUACACGAAAUACCGUAAGAGUCUUAA
rfam:Folsomia candida strain VT population Fcan01_Sc004, whole genome shotgun sequence.